rnacentral:rRNA from 1 species
GACGAACGCUGGCGGCGUGCUUAACACAUGCAAGUCGAACGGAAAGGCCCCUUUGGGGGUACUCGAGUGGCGAACGGGUGAGUAACACGUGAGUAACCUGCCCUUGACUUCGGGAUAACUUCAGGAAACUGGGGCUAAUACCGGAUAGGAAUCCUUGCUGCAUGGUGGGGGUUGGAAAGCUUCGGCGGUUUUGGAUGGACUCGCGGCUUAUCAGCUUGUUGGUGGGGUAGUGGCUUACCAAGGCUUUGACGGGUAGCCGGCCUGAGAGGGCGACCGGCCACAUUGGGACUGAGAUACGGCCCAGACUCCUACGGGAGGCAGCAGUGGGGAAGAUUGCACAGUGGGCGGAAGCCUGAUGCAGCACCGCCGCGUGCGGGAUGACGGCCUUCGGGUUGUAAACCGCUUUCAGCAGGGGCGAAGCUUGUGGUGACGGUACCUGCAGAAGAAGCACCGGCUAACUACGUG